AUUGAACGCUGGCGGCAGGCCUAACACAUGCAAGUCGAGCGGUAGAGAGGAGCUUGCUUCUCUUGAGAGCGGCGGACGGGUGAGUAAUGCCUAGGAAUCUGCCUGGUAGUGGGGGAUAACGUUCGGAAACGGACGCUAAUACCGCAUACGUCCUACGGGAGAAAGUGGGGGAUCUUCGGACCUCACGCUAUCAGAUGAGCCUAGGUCGGAUUAGCUAGUUGGUGAGGUAAAGGCUCACCAAGGCGACGAUCCGUAACUGGUCUGAGAGGAUGAUCAGUCACACUGGAACUGAGACACGGUCCAGACUCCUACGGGAGGCAGCAGUGGGGAAUAUUGGACAAUGGGCGCAAGCCUGAUCCAGCCAUGCCGCGUGUGUGAAGAAGGUCUUCGGAUUGUAAAGCACUUUCGGUCGGGAAGAAAUCGCAUGGGUUAAUACCCUGUGCGGAUGACGGUACCGGCAUAAGAAGCACCGGCUAACUACGUGCCAGCCGCCGCAGUAAGAC
rnacentral:rRNA from 1 species